UGAUGAGGGGAGAAGAGUGCAGGGGUCACCGAGAGAAGCGAGAUCAGGAGGGAGACCAGUCAGUGGUGGCCCCACGGGGGUCUCGGGGCUCCUGGGUCCCCUAACCAAGCCCCCUCAGAGCCAACCCGGAGAAAACACAAACGCCCUGCCAGGCCAGCGCAGCUGCUGGACACGGCCCUCGGCGCCGCUCCAACCAGACCGCCACCGCUAAGCCCCUCCUUUCAAGAAACUCUGGGGCCGCCCCUGGAAGUGGCGGGGCGGAGGGACCCGAGGAGCGGCGCUUGGCGGCGAUGGAGCCCAGCGGCCCGGGCACGGGGACCGGCGUGGAAGGCGCGGCGGGCGACCCGUACCAGCGACCAGCGCGGCGCACACAGUGGCUGCUGAGCGCCCUGGCGCACCACUACGGGCUGGACCGAGGCGUGGAGAACGAGAUCGUGGUGCUGGCCACGGGCCUGGACCAGUAUCUACAGGAGGUCUUCCACCACCUGGACUGCCGAGGCGCCGGCCGCCUGCCCCGCGCCGACUUCCGCGCGCUCUGCGCGGUGCUGGGGCUGCGCGCCGAGGAGGCUGCCGCCACCUGGGAGGCUGCCGGGGAUACAGCCGCGGGAGACACGAACUCCGGGGAUGUGAUCGCUGGGGUGGCCACCGAUGGGGACGCGGAUGCGGAGGAGGAGGCGCGCCUGGCACUGCGCGCCGAGCCGCCUGAGCUCACCUUCCGCCAGUUCCACGCGCGCCUCUGCGGCUACUUUGGCACCCGCGCCGGGCCCCGUCUGCCCCGCGGCGCUCUUAGCGAGCACAUCGAGACGCAGAUCCGCCUGCGCCGUCCGCGCCGCCGCCGCCGAGCGCCCCAAACGCCCGGCUCCGACGGCGGCCCGGACAGCGAACGCCUGGCGCGCUUGGAGGAAGAAAACAGCAGCCUGCGUGAGCUGGUGGAGGACCUGCGGGCCGCGCUGCAGAGCAGUGACGCGCGCUGCCUAGCACUGCAGGUCGGCCUCUGGAAGAGCCAGGCGGGCGCCCGGGAGGCGGCGCACGGCGGGCCCGAGGCGGCGGCGGCGGCGCGGGAGCUGCGGCAGGCGCGGGGCGCGCUGACGGCAGCCGAGGCCCGCGCGGGGCGCCUGCGCCGGGGCCAGGCCGAGGUGCGGCGGCGCGCGGAGGAGGCCCGGCAGGCAGUGCUGCGCAGCCUGGCGCGCGUGCGCGAGCUCGAGGCGCUGGCGCGGCAGGUGCCCGGCCUGCAGCGCUGGGUGCGGCGGCUGGAGGGCGAGCUGCGGCGCUACAGGUCGGAGGACAGCCACCUCCCAACCUCACCACGAGCCAGCCCAGAGCCACAAGCCAAGAGUGGUGAACCUGAGGAUGGUGGGACCAGAGGCCCAGACCUCCCUCCAGAGGGAGGCUGGGGCUCCGACAGCAGCUCAGGGAGCAGACCCCUGCACGAAGCCCGUGCUUCUCCAGCAGUGGACGAGCAGCUGUUCCGCUCGGUCGAGGGCCAGGCCGCCUCUGACGAGGAGGACGACAGUGAGAAGUGGCAGCAGGAGCAGGGGCCACCGGCUGAGGUCAAGGCCCUGCUGGCCGGCCUCUCCAGCUGCGGGCGUGGGUGCGUGUGCCGGUGUGAUGACCAGACGGCCAAGAAGCUCGUGACCUACUUCACCCACUUUGGCAGUGCCGACCAUGCCCGUGCCCUGGGGGAGCUGGAGCAGCUGGGGACCCAGGGCUGCAGUGGGAAGACCCUGGGGACACCAGGGGAGGAGGUCAGCUGAGUCCCACAGGCUGAGAGCUGGAGCAAUGCUAGAGUCUCUCACAGGCGGAACUGAGGGACCUCAGCCAAGUGCUGUGCCCCAUUUCCAGAGGCACAAACCGAGACUCAGAGAGAAGAUGAUUUAGGUCUAAUGAAGAAUAUUCUGGCUGCAAGCUAAAGGAUACAUCUCAGAUCAGCUCGAGUGAAAAACAGGAAGUUAUUAGAAUACGGAGCUGGGAGAACAGUUUCAAAAGAACAGCUAAGACGGGCUUCAGGCACUUCAGCUCCCUAAGAUGGAUGCAGGGACUCAGACCGCCUCCACCUAUCUGCUCUGUAUUUUUCUGGGUGCUGACCUCACUUUCCCCUACUUCAGAGGGGCCUGCUCCAUGUGGCGGGGGAUGGGAAGGUAGGACCACAGGCAGCUCUAGGCUCCCGUCAGCCCACUGAAGAAACCCCGGGGGAACAAUAAUAGCCCAGUACAUUAAGUCUCAGGGAAGAGCUCCAAUGGUCCGGGCUCAGUCAUGCGUCCGUGCCAGGGCUAACCCACGUGGUAGGCGGGCAGGGUCCCAUGAUUGGCAGCUCCAUCAAAGUCAGAUGAAAUGGAUGAGGGACACUUCCCUCAAGGAAAGUUAGUGAGUUUGUUGUGGAGGAGAAGGGUGGCGCCGGGCAACACCAAGAGAGGUGUCUCCAUCUCAACAAGACCACUUAGCAUGUUUUUUCUCGUCUGUCUACACCAUGGCAACUUCCCUGUUCCAUAGUAAUCAAGCAUGGAAUGCUAUGGAAAGUUAUUAUUUCCCUAAGCCCUCUAGCACAAUGCACUUUUGCAAACUGAUUUUGAUAAAAGAGUUUUAUAUUUAUAUACCUGAAAUUCUAAAUCCAUACUGUUUUGUUUUCUUUUGUUUUUUAAACGUAUCUGUGAUCUGAUACAGUUCCAAAGGGCAUAGCGACCACUCCUUUCUAAUUAAAUCUCAAACAGGCGUCUGGAGAGCUCAGUUACUGACUAUGUUCCCAGGCCUCCUCUCUCCUGCCUGAAGCUGAACGUCCAAUGGCACCAUGCCUUCAGCUGCUUCUCUUUCCCUCCAUCGGUGCUAAGAGAGGGGGCUGCCUCACUCCUGCCAUCCCUGCUUCGGAAGGCAGGUGGCCAUGCAACAUUUUGCGACCUCCCACCAUCCACCCUCUGGCAGAGCUGCAGCAGAAGGUGGACGAGAAUGAGCGCCUGAGGCUGGAGCUGCAGAUGGUGGAGACAGAGAGGGUGCGGCUGUCCCUGCUGGAGGAGAAGCUGGAGGACGUGCUGCGGCUCCUGCAGAGGCUCCGG